rnacentral:rRNA from 1 species
AAGCGCACGCAGGCGGUCUGUCAAGUCGGAUGUGAAAUCCCCGGGCUCAACCUGGGAACUGCAUUCGAAACUGGCAGGCUAGAGUCUUGUAGAGGGGGGGAGAAUUCCAGGUGUAGCGGUGAAAUGCGGAGAGAUCUGGGGGAAUACCGGUGGCGAAGGCGGCCCCCUGGACAAAGACUGACGCUCAGGUGCGAAAGCGUGGGGAGCAAACAGGCUUAGAUACCCUGGUAGUCCAUGCCGUAAACGAUGUCGAUUUGGAGGUUGUGCCCUUGAGUCGUGGCUUCCGGAGCUAACGCGUUAAAUCGACCGCCUGGGGAGGACGGCCGCAAGGUUAAAACUCAGAUGAAUUGACGGGGGCCCGCUCAAGCGGUGUAGCAUGUGGUUUAAUUCGAUGCAAAGCGAAUAGACUUACCUGG